AACUAUUUAUUUUAUCUAUCAAGUCAGCAUUGCUUGGUCCAAACAAUGCUCACUGGGGGACAAUGCUAUGGAGGAUACACCUAUUUUCCCUAUUUAGUACUGUUGAAGCCCUCACAGGACUUUAGCAUAUGAAAACAACCCUAAGAAAUACCAAGUGUUCAACCAAACCAACAAACUAGACAUGACAAUGGGAGUCAGGUACGGAUAUUAUCUUUCUAAUCCCUUACCCCGACUUCUCAACAUAUCCCCAUACCCGUCAAAGUUGGGACGGAUUCGGACGGGUACCCACGGGUACGAGUUUUCUUGUCAUGUCUACAACAAACUAAAAGUAAAGGACAAACUUAAGCAAAUAAGCACCUAAACACGUUAAGCUCACAUUCUGAUUUGAUCAUCAGAGUCUAUAUGUCUCCACCGAAGUCAUUCCCGGUGGAACACCGUAAGCCACCGUACGAGUUGCCAGAAUCUGCCUCCUCUUCAGCACCACACAUGCAACAAUUGCAUACUAAUUUAUACCAACUUAACUAAUGUUAAUUUUAUAAUGGUAUAUAUUUACCCUAUCUCUAGCUUUUGCCCCAAGCAGUUUCAUAUGUAUUGGAGAAUUUUGUUAUGAACACAAUAAUUGUUGUUCAGACGAAAUUCACUGCUGGUCAAUUGUUUUUUUUUUCCCCUCUCUUUGACAAUAAUGUCACAAAUUUAUUAAGAAAAAAUAGAAAAGAUAAGUAAAUAAAUUAAUUUUUGACAAACAGAAUCGUAUCUUAAAAGAUAAUUGUCAUUUUCAUAUAUAAGCGUGAAAUACCCAACAGAGUUGUGGAGUCUGAGACACCUUCAAGUGGAGCACCAAACAUGUAUAAAUGACCAUCUAAUCAUCUCCAAUCAUUAUUGAUCACGGUCCCAACAAUAAAGUGGAACCCUACUGACUUAGCUAUAGCUCCCUGUGUAGAGAAAUUGUGUUCAUGCAUAUAUAGUUCUUUGACAACAAAAAGAGAUCACAAAAAAAAUGGAAAAACAUGAUACAGGAGUGUUGAUAUAUAUGAUGUUAAGAAAACUAUACCACUAAUUGAGAUAAAAUAUGUAUAAGUUACUUAACUAGAAUGUGACAUUCUGGGAGAUAAUUAACAGGAGACAAAACACUCAAAAUAGAUUGCUUAAUAAAAUUAUACCUAUUGAAGCUAGACACUUAGAGAUUUUAUAUGAUCCUCCACCAUUGUUGCCUGUGAUGAAGACUUCCACGUCAGCACAAGAUAUGGUAUUGGAUGUCCUUGGAUUCAUGAAGAACAAUUAGCAAGUAUUAAUUUCAAAUGGACAAAUAUAUCUUUCCAAAUCAAAACCUAUGUUGUGAUCCCGCAAGUAACAGUCGCAAGCCAAAGGAGCUUUAGUCC
rnacentral:lncRNA from 1 species